UCUGCCGGCACGAGUGUCGGCAUCGAGCGAGGCAUGUUGAAUAUGUCUCGCGAGAGGGAACCCGGUGAGAGUCCGGGACUGACCCGCAGCGGUAUGCAGGAACGACCGCCGUCAUCAGCACUGGUCUUGGGACCGGGAAGCGACGGCCACUAGGAGCACCACCCGGUGCGUGCCUGCGAGUCCGAAGACCUGCCGGCUGUGCCGGGCGUGC
rnacentral:ncRNA from 1 species